GUGGGGAAUUUUGGACAAUGGGCGCAAGCCUGAUCCAGCAAUGCCGCGUGUGUGAAGAAGGCCUUCGGGUUGUAAAGCACUUUUGGCAGGAAAGAAAUAGUGCGUGCUAAUACCAUGCGCGAAUGACGGUACCUGCAGAAUAAGCACCGGCUAACUACGUGCCAGCAGCCGCGGUAAGACGUAGGGUGCAAGCGUUAAUCGGAAUUACUGGGCGUAAAGCGUGCGCAGGCGGUUUUGUAAGACAGGUGUGAAAUCCCCGGGCUCAACCUGGGAACUGCACUUGUGACUGCAAGGCUAGAGUGUGUCAGAGGGAGGUGGAAUUCCGCGUGUAGCAGUGAAAUGCGUAGAGAUGCGGAGGAACACCGAUGGCGAAGGCAGCCUCCUGGGAUAACACUGACGCUCAGGCACGAAAGCGUGGGGAGCAAACAGGAUUAGAAACCCGAGUAGUCC
rnacentral:rRNA from 1 species